rnacentral:lncRNA from 1 species
CCGACACCACCCGACGCCCCGACGCCGCCCGACUCUGCCCAACGCCGGCGUUGCUCCUCCAGCAUACUGUCCUGUGGUAAGCCAUCUCCGCCUCCCCCCUCCCCCCUCCUCUGCCCGCCUCCGUCCUAACCCUGUCCCCGGUGGUAAGUCAUCGACGCCGGCGAGCUCGCCAAGAACGUUGUCCUCUUCUAGUCACUCAUCGACCCUAACACCACCCGACGAGAUUGCCGUGAUUUUCUGAUAGUGAUGGUGAUGGUCUGAGGGAUCUAGGAGGAUUGACAGUUUGUAGCAAUAUUGUGUUUCUAUAGAAUGAGAUGUUUAUUUCAUUUAUUUGAAAUGGAUGAGUGCUCUGCAUAUUUGUUAGGAGAGAAUCCAUGUUUCAAAUGUCCAUUGCCGGAGAUGUCAAGAUUCGUUAGUAGUUGAUGCAAAGGAGGAGGACUUGUUGGGUUGUGGUGACGUCCCCGACCUAAUUGAUGGAGAAGCAAUCCCUCAUCUCAAUGGUCGACAAGACAUCAGUGCAUGUCACCCAUAAUGGGCCUAUUUAGUACGUAUUGUAGGAUGUUAGCAAAGUUGGUCGAUCAACUGGCUGCUAAUUCUAUCAUCGUAGUUCAAUUCUGCAGCAAGGAUAUAAGGGUUACAUUGUAAAGAUUGGAUUUUUAAAUGUUCUACACAAUGUUAUGUCAACAUGACAAACCCUUUCUACCAAAUAGAAAUUUUAAACAAA